AGUCCUCAUAGAGGAAAUAUAUCAAACACUUGUUGUCUCUCCUUCCAUAAAGGAACUCUUUCUCUCUCUCUCUCUCUGUUUUCUUAUUGUUGAUAUUGACUCGUUAACAUACAUAUAGUCGAGCAGCUACACCCAUAACUCCUUCCUGAUAGAAAUAAAGAAAAAGGAGAAAAAGAGAAGGGAAGAAGAAGAAGAGGAGCACACAAGGUAUGGUUGAAGAUGAUCUUUUGAGAUGGAGGAGUGGUUAGGCAUAUUUACGAAUGGCUUUGGUGACUUGUGGCAAUGGUGAUGGCGUGGGUGGCUUGCUGUGCUGCAGAAAUGAUGGCUUGAUGACUUGCUGUAAAGAUUUGGCUUGCUGUGCAGACUAGUGUGGAUGACAUGGCUUGAUGACUUGCUGCAGAGAUUUGGCUUGUUAUUCAUGAAUAACUUGCUGUAGAGAUUUAUUCACUAACACCCCCCCUGCAAACUUAUGGGAGAAACUUCCUUCAGUUUGUCUUUUGCUUCU